GAGAAUGACUUGAGUUUGGUAGGGGCAAUCGAGAAUAGACGACCAUAAGAUCGAUAUAUAGAGAAAUACAGGGAGUAGUGUAGGUACUUCCCUUAAGGAAGUUCCCAGUCCUUGACAUCUUUACCUAUAGCUUAGACGUGAUAAUACCUAUCCGCUUUUAUCAUUUUCAGAGACUCAAAAUGUAGUCAUCCUUGUCGGCAGCUUUUGUCUCGGGGUAUAUAAUUUCACUCGUUCUCUUGUCCUUUUGCAGUACUUCAUUCUUAACGUGGGAAGCAUCGAUGCGUGGUAGUAACGGAAAAGCGUCGAUGAUGAGUCGACGAAAAAUCGGAGAAAAGGGAGAAGUUGAUGGACGAAUGUGCAAGUGACUGAAUCCUUUCACUUCUCAACCCAGAUUCAGUAUGACGACAGUUCGAUAGAUGAAAAAAUACAUUUGUGAAUGCUUCUUCAAGGAGAACAAAUGGGGGUCUGAGAACUUUCUUCAAAGUCGUAUUCAAUGGAUUUCAUUUGGAAAGGAUCUUAGAAGCACCGGAAAAUAAUACCAUGCAACUUUCCCCCGCGAUGGCCCCGACUCCACGUUUUCACUAUAUAUUAUUCACGAGAACGUGAGUAAGAAACGUAGUUGAGAGAUUGUCGCUGAUCGUACGCGUCAAAUUCUAUCUUACUAUCUGUUUCUAUUUUGUGUUAUUCAAUUUGGA